CUACGGGACGCUCCAGUGAGGAAUAUUGCACAAUGGGGGGGACCCUGAUGCAGCAACGCCGCGUGGAGGAUGACGCAUUUCGGUGUGUAAACUCCUUUUAUAUGUCAAGAAAAUGACGGUAGCAUAUGAAUAAGCACCGGCUAACUCCGUGCCAGCAGCCGCGGUAAUACGGAGGGUGCAAGCGUUACUCGGAAUCACUGGGCGUAAAGGACGCGUAGGCGGGCUUGUAAGUCAGGUGUGAAAUCCUACAGCUUAACUGUAGAACUGCACUUGAAACUACGAGCCUAGAGUAUGGGAGGGGGAGAUGGAAUUAGUGGUGUAGGGGUAGAAUCCGUAGAUAUCACUAGGAAUACCUAAAGCGAAGGCGAUCUCCUGGAACAUAACUGACGCUAAGGCGUGAAAGCGUGGGGAGCAAACAGGAUUAGAUACCCCCGUAGUC
rnacentral:rRNA from 1 species